GAUGAAGAACGUAGCGAAAUGCGAUAAGUAAUGUGAAUUGCAGAAUUCAGUGAAUCAUCGAAUCUUUGAACGCACCUUGCACCCUUUGGCAUUCCGAAGGGUAUGCUCGUUUGAGUGUCAUUGUACUCUCACUCUCCCGAUACUUUUGGAUCGGGAGUGGUGGACUUGGGGGCUGCUGCUUAACUGUGGCUCGCCUUAAAUGAAGUAGUGCAACUCUCGGUUGGACAUAGUACGGCGUGAUAAGUGUCUUCGCCGGCGCCUCAUUCGAGGGUGGCCGAUCGGGAGCUCUGUGCUUCAAACUGUCUUCGGACAACAUCUGACAACUUGACCUCAAAUCGAGUAGGACUACCCGCUGAACUUAAGCAUAUCAAUAAGCGGAGGA
rnacentral:misc_RNA from 1 species